rnacentral:rRNA from 1 species
GACGAACGCUGGCGGCGUGCUUAAUACAUGCAAGUCGAACGGAAAGGCCCCUUUGGGGGUACUCGAGUGGCGCACGGGUGAGUAACACGUGAGUAACCUGCCCUUGACUUCGGGAUAACUUCAGGAAACUGGGGCUAAUACCGGAUAGGAAUCCUUGCUGCAUGGUGGGGGUUGGAAAGCUUCGGCGGUUUUGGAUGGACUCGCGGCUUAUCAGCUUGUUGGUGGGGUAGUGGCUUACCAAGGCUUUGACGGGUAGCCGGCCUGAGAGGGCGACCGGCCACAUUGGGACUGAGAUACGGCCCAGACUCCUACGGGAGGCAGCAGUGGGGAAUAUUGCACAAUGGGCGGAAGCCUGAUGCAGCAACGCCGCGUGCGGGAUGAUGGCCUUCGGGUUGUAAACCGCUUUCAGCAGGGGCGAAGCUUGUGGUGACGGUACCUGCAGAAGAAGCACCGGCUAACUACGUG